CACCAACACAACUGACGUCUGGAGAGAGGAUUAAGCUUUUCUUUCAAAAUAUUAAGGUCGUUGGGAAUGUACCAGGGAUGCCUGGGUACGGUGCGCUACGGCUGGCAGACCGCUUCACGUAUCUUGGGAGCAUCGUCAACAAGGAUGGUGGAGUGGACAGUGACAUCAACAAGGUCAGGCAUGCUUUUAACAGCCUACGCCCCAUCUGGAACUCUCAAGCAUUAUCCUUCCACAGCAAGACCCGCAUCUUCAAAUCAAAUAUGAAGGCAGUCCUACUGUAUGGUUCUGAAACUUGGAAAAUGACAAAUACCACCACCAACAAGCUCCAGACCUUUACUAACCAAUGCCUACGCCAUAUCCUGGGAAAAGAUGGCCUGAAAAGAUCUCUAACAUCAGCCUGUGGUAAAAAGCAACCAAAAUCCCACUAGCUAAGACACCAAGAAGCACAAAUGGGGCUGGAUAGGACACACCCUAUACAAACCAGCUGAUACCAUUAUUAUUAGGCUUGACUGGAUCACUCAGGGAGAGUUGGGAGGCCAAAGUAGACUGGAAAAGAACAGUAGAGAGCGAGGGGAAGGAUGCCGGAACCACAUGGGGCCAGCUGAGGGGGACUGCUCACAACCAGAUCUGCUGGAGAGGUGUUGCAGCUCUAUGCUCCUCACGAAGUAGCAAGGACUAAACUAAAAACUAGUAGAUUGAAAUUGUUGUGUAUUUACACACCCAUUACUCACAUAUACCAAGAAACAUACACAGCCUUGCCCAUUUUCAAAGCUUACAUAUGAUAGAAUUCAUUUUAAUAACUGUCAAUAGUUAUGCAACACACACAAAAAUCACAGUCCUACCAGUCUUCAUUUUUUUAUAAUGCAUAGUAUGAAUAUUUACAAACAAUAUGUGAUAAUUAUACUUUACAAACUUAUAAAUAUGUUGCAUUAAGUGUUCGUUAUGUCAAACUCUUAUCUACUACAUCGAGUCACACGAACCUUGUUUUAUUUACCAGCAGGCAGUAAAUAAAGGUGUACACAGAAAUCAUUUUGUUUCAUCAGUGUGAAAAUCAUGCACAAA